rnacentral:lncRNA from 1 species
AGCUUGGAGCCGGGCGUUCGUUCCACUUGCAGCAAAUUCUCCUUGGAUCCUACUGUGGGGUUGUUACACGAGUAAUGAAUGAUGAUAAUAAGAUGUCCGGUGCCUUUUUUAGCUCAGGAAGAAAGGCUUCAUGGGCCAUGGUGGUGUGCUGUUGGCAAAGUGUGUGUGGUCUGCUGUCUCUCCUUAGUGAACACGGAUUCUGUGUAGAAUUGUACAUUUGUUUUGUUGCAACUGGGACCUGUGUAAAAUGUAUGUAGUUCAUGUCUUCGUUUCCUAGCACUACUUCAGAAGAAGAAAAAUUACCUCCUAUGGAAAGUCUGGUGCUGCAUUUGUAAGUUCAAGCUUUGGGGCGUGCUACGCGGCUGCCGGCUGAUCUUUUUUUAAAAGAUCGGUCGGACCGCAAGCAGUUAGAUUUCACCUAUUAAGCGAAAAUGUCAAAUGGAGACCGAGCUCCAUGGAGGCUUUUAUUUGAAAACUUUAAAAUUCAAACUUUUCAGUUUCAAAAAAAUCUGAAAAUAAAUACACAUAUACCUAGAUACAUAAUGUACAUGUGUGCAAAUUUCCAAGUCAAAAUACAUUAUAAUGUGAGCUACAUAAAAAAGACAAAUAUGGGGCUUUUUAGCAUAUGUAGCUGGCCAAACGGGCCGUGCUAAAUGGGCUGGCCCGGUAGCAUGCAGGAACGGCACGACCCGAGCUACACGGGCCAGGUUGGCACGCGGCACGCCAUGGGCCAUGCUUGGGCCUGGAGGCUGGGCACGCGGGCCAGCACGGCACAACCCGCUUAUUUAUUUAUUUUUAUUUUUAUUAGAAUUUUUUACACAUAUGUUCAAAAAUACAGCCCAAUAUGCCUAAAUAACAGCCCCAACAGGCUGAAAAUAUGCAGCCCAACCGUGCUAAAUGUGCCAUGGGCCAGCCCGUUUAUUAGUUGGGUCGUGCCUAGGCUGGAGGACACAUCACGUGGGCCCACACGACACAGCCUGGCUAUAAGUUCGGCCAGGUUUGUAAGUGGCAUAGUGUAAACGUUCACCGUUGCAAGACAUGCUUUAUUUCAAAAAUUUCUUACAACAGACAUCUUAUCACAGAACCUUUUUGUGACAAACGUCUUGUUGCAAUUUUUUUUUACAAUAGACGUCUUGUUGCAGAUUUCUUAAAGAUUUUUUUUGCAACAACCGUCUUCUUGCAGACUUUUUUUGCAACAGAUUACCUGUUGCAAAAUUAUUUCUAAAAACAAGGUUGCAUCGCAUCACAGUAGUCGUUUACCUCCAAGAUUUGCAACAAGACUGCGUGCCUGCACUUGACUUCGCGCUGAGGAUGUGUGGCAGGCAACAAAGGCGGCGGACGGACCGUGAUUAUCAGCUGCCUGAGAGUAAUCAUUUUCCUUAAGCUUUUCUUUAUUUUCAUUUUUUCUGAGAUUCUUAUUUUAGGGGUAGAAACCCUUUUUUUAGAAAAAAUUUAGGCAAACCUCUAUUUCAUAUUUGGGAAGAGUUUUUUAUUUUUCGUUAUGGUUUUUCUGGAACGAUUCUUCUUCAGGUUUUUUUUCGUUUUCUCUUAUUUAUUUUCGUUUUCUUAUUACUUGUUUUCUCUUUUCCUUUCUUUUUUUAUUUUUAAAAUACAUGGACAUUUUCAAAUUCGACAUUUUAAAAACAAUUGAACUUUUCCUAUUUUUUGUGAAAAUCAAUUCAAGUUUGCAAAAAAUAAUCAUAAUUUGUGAACUUUCCCCAAUUUAUGAACUUUUUCCAUAUUUUGAUUUUUUUUCAAAUUUAGGAUUUUUUUUUUGCGAUGAUCAAUUUUUAGUAGCUUUUGCGAUGAUCAACUAGAAAAAAACCGGCGAUGAAACAGUAGAUGGGCCGGCCUCGGAGCGGGGGCGCGUGAGCGCCAGAACGGGCGCUACAAGCGCUGUAUAGGUGCUCUCGUGGCAUUAACCUCCUCCUAUGUGCAGCUCAUUUCGGCAAACAAACAACACUCGUGACACACAAGGGAGCCCAACUAGGCCAGCCUAUUAGUACUGUAGUGCAAGAUUGUAGCACUUGCAGACAUUUUUUUAAAGCGGGGACAGUUCUUGAAAUUUGUGAACUUCUGAAAAAAAAAGGGAAAAUAAUAAAAAAUAGAAGAAGCAAGAGAACAACCGGGCAAAAGAAAAACGAUUUAGGAACCUUCUAGAAGCCCAAAACCGAUAAAGAAAACCGGGUGGAACCUUAUAGAAUUUUCCCAAAACGUAUCUUCGAGGUGCUAAAUAAGUUGGCCCAGUUUGAUCGCUCGCUUGGUUGCUAUGUGUGAAAUGGCAACAACACGUCGCAACGAGCCUCACACAACCUUCCAUAUUUGAUGCAUACUAGUGGUUGGGGUGCCACACCCUCUGACGCCGCUUGAGAGGAAGUUGUGUGUUUUCAUUUUAAAAAAAGUACAUAGAGUCCUCGCAUCCAUAAAAAAACAUAUAAAAAAAUCCUCACCUCUAUCUAAAAAAAGAAGUAAAAAAGAAAUAAAAUUGCCACUGCAGCCUACCAGCGAGCGCCACUUUGUAUAACCCUCCAUUUAAAAAUACCAGAGGUCCUCACCUCCAUCUAAAAAGAAAAAAUACAUUUAAAAAAUAAUGCUCACCUUUAUCUAAAAAAAUACAAAAAAAAUCUCAUUGCGGCCAACCAGCUUGUGCCACGUGGCAUAGCUGGUUGGGCACCCUUCACGCGAUGCUUAAUGGGUUUGAUUUCAUCAAAUUGCUGUACAAAAGCACCUGGAAGUGCUACGAUGGGUCGGCCCAAUUAGUUUAUUUUUAUAUAUUCUUUCAAAAGUGUUCCAAUUUUUUUUUUAAAAAUCAUGUUUCUAAAAAAUAUUAGAUUUUUCCCUAAAUGUUCACAAGUGCCAAAAAAGUGGAUAUUUCCAAAAAAUGAGAAAACAUUAAAAAAUAAAACCAUGCCAAAUUUUCGAAAAAAUCUAACAAAUAUUUUUUAUAAAAUGUUGACCUCCUGUAGAUUUUUGAAUUUCCUUAGAAAAUAUUCCUUUUUUUUGGAAAAGUAACCGAAAACUAGACAGAGAAAACAGAAGAAGUUAAAAAAAACGAGAAGUCACAAUGGACCGAAAACAUAGCAAUGCUAGCACCUUACCUUAAAAUGGGCAUGCCCAAUCGUGGUGGCUUGUGGAGAAUAUGCGCCCACUCGUGUGGUGCUACUAGUGCACUUAGACGUCAAAAAAUGUGAAACAAUUUUGCACGUACAUAAAACACAUAUUUACUAAAAUUUCAUCUUCAAUUGUGGACCCACAACUCUACAAAAAGAGUCAAAUCACUUUAUGAAUAGUACUCAUUUGAGAUUGAGCUAUAAACUUGGCCCAUCGACAGAAUUAGUGCUGAACUAGUCAUCUUUGUUUCUCAAGCUGUGAUCAAAUUUUACCUUUGAUGUUUCUGACAUGGUUGAAAUGUAUCCUAUGUGUAUUCUAAAUUAUUUUCAGAUUUUUGCACCCUUUAAUUUGACUUCUGGACAUCAGGUGCACUGGUAGGACUAUAAGUUCUUUUUUAGCAGGGUAGGACCAUAAGGUUGGUUGGGCGCACCGGAUACGUUCCCUGUGUGCGUUACAAAGCAACUGUGUUUUCUAGGUCGGGCACUCAAGAACUCAAAAAAAAAAAAAC